GACGAACGCUGGCGGCGUGCUUAACACAUGCAAGUCGAACGGAAAGGCCUGCUUUCCCUUGUGGAUUGCGGGUACUCGAGUGGCGAACGGGUGAGUAACACGUGAGUGAUCUGCCCCCAGCUUGGGUAUAAGCCUGGGAAACUGGGUCUAAUUCCCGAUAGGACUGCAGGGUGGUGCCUGUGGUGGAAAACGAUUUUCUAGUGGUUGGGGAUGAGCUCGCGGCCUAUCAGCUUGUUGGUGGGGUAAUGGCCUACCAAGGCGGCGACGGGUAGCCGGCCUGAGAGGGUGGACGGCCACAUUGGGACUGCGAUACGGCCCAGACUCCUACGGGAGGCAGCAGUGGGGAAUAUUACACAAUGGGCGGAAGCCUGAUGCAGCGACGCCGCGUGGGGGAUGACGGCCUUCGGGUGGUAAACUCCUUUCGACCGCGAGGAAGCCACCUGGUUGGAAGGGUGGUGACGGUAGUGGUAGAAGAAGCACCGGCUAACUACGUG
rnacentral:rRNA from 1 species